rnacentral:rRNA from 1 species
GAUGAACGCUGGCGGCGUGCUUAACACAUGCAAGUCGAACGAAGAGCGAUGGAAGCUUGCUUCUAUCAAUCUUAGUGGCGAACGGGUGAGUAACGCGUAAUCAACCUGCCCUUCAGAGGGGGACAACAGUUGGAAACGACUGCUAAUACCGCAUACGAUCUAAUCUCGGCAUCGAGGAUAGAUGAAAGGUGGCCUCUACAUGUAAGCUAUCACUGAAGGAGGGGAGUGCGUCUGAUUAGCUAGUUGGAGGGGUAACGGCCCACCAAGGCGAUGAUCAGUAGCCGGUCUGAGAGGAUGAACGGCCACAUUGGGACUGAGACACGGCCCAGACUCCUACGGGAGGCAGCAGUGGGGAAUCUUCCGCAAUGGACGAAAGUCUGACGGAGCAACGCCGCGUGAGUGAUGACGGCCUUCGGGUUGUACAGCUCUGUUAAUCGGGACGAAAGGCCUUCUUGCGAAUAGUGAGAAGGAUUGACGGUACCGGAAUAGAAAGCCACGGCUAACUACGUG